GGGGAAUAUUGGACAAUGGGGGAAACCCUGAUCCAGCCAUGCCGCGUGAGUGAUGAAGGCCUUAGGGUUGUAAAGCUCUUUCAGUGGGGAAGAUAAUGACGGUACCCACAGAAGAAGCCCCGGCUAACUUCGUGCCAGCAGCCGCGGUAAUACGAAGGGGGCUAGCGUUGUUCGGAAUUACUGGGCGUAAAGCGCACGUAGGCGGACUGGUCAGUUAGGGGUGAAAUCCCGGGGCUCAACCCCGGAACUGCCUUUAAUACUGCCAGUCUAGAGUCCGGAAGAGGUGAGUGGAACUCCUAGUGUAGAGGUGGAAUUCGUAGAUAUUAGGAAGAACACCAGUGGCGAAGGCGGCUCACUGGUCCGGUACUGACGCUGAGGUGCGAAAGCGUGGGGAGCAAAC
rnacentral:rRNA from 1 species